rnacentral:rRNA from 1 species
UGGGGAAUAUUGGACAAUGGGCGAAAGCCUGAUCCAGCCAUGCCGCGUGUGUGAAGAAGGCCCUCAGGUUGUAAAGCACUUUCAGUGGGGAAGAAAGCCUCGGGAUUAAUACUUCCGAGGGAGGACAUCACCCACAGAAGAAGCACCGGCUAACUCCGUGCCAGCAGCCGCGGUAAUACGGAGGGUGCGAGCGUUAAUCGGAAUUACUGGGCGUAAAGCGCGCGUAGGUGGCUUGAUAAGCCGGUUGUGAAAGCCCCGGCGUCAACCUGGGAACGGCAUCCGGAACUGUCAGGCUAGAGUGCAGGAGAGGAAGGUAGAAUUCCCGGUGUAGCGGUGAAAAUGCGUAGAGAUCGGGAGGAAUACCAGUGGCGAAGGCGGCC